rnacentral:rRNA from 1 species
UACACUCCUGCGGGAGGCAGCAGUAGGGAAUCUUCCACAAUGGGUGCAAACCUGAUGGAGCAAUGCCGCGUGAGUGAAGAAGGUCUUCGGAUCGUAAAGCUCUGUUGUUAGAGAAGAACACGUGCUAGGUAACUACUAGCGCCUUGACGGUAUCUAACCAGAAAGUCACGGCUAACUACGUGCCAGCAGCCGCGGUAAUACGUAGGUGACAAGCGUUGUCCGGAUUUAUUGGGCGUAAAGGGAGCGCAGGCGGUCUGUUUAGUCUAAUGUGAAAGCCCACGGCUUAACCGUGGAACGGCAUUGGAAACUGACAGACUUGAAUGUAGAAGAGGAAAAUGGAAUUCCAAGUGUAGCGGUGGAAUGCGUAGAUAUUUGGAGGAACACCAGUGGCGAAGGCGAUUUUCUGGUCUAACAUUGACGCUGAGGCUCGAAAGCGUGGGGAGCGAACAGGAUUAGAAACCCGAGUAGUCCC